AAUAGAUACCCGGGUAGUCCACACCGUAAACGAUGAGUGCUAAGUGUUGGGGGGUUUCCGCCCCUCAGUGCUGCAGCUAACGCAUUAAGCACUCCGCCUGGGGAGUACGGUCGCAAGACUGAAACUCAAAGGAAUUGACGGGGGCCCGCACAAGCGGUGGAGCAUGUGGUUUAAUUCGAAGCAACGCGAAGAACCUUACCAGGUCUUGACAUCCCGGUGACCACUAUGGAGACAUAGUUUCCCCUUCGGGGGCAACGGUGACAGGUGGUGCAUGGUUGUCGUCAGCUCGUGUCGUGAGAUGUUGGGUUAAGUCCCGCAACGAGCGCAACCCUUAUUCUUAGUUGCCAUCAUUCAGUUGGGCACUCUAAGGAGACUGCCGGUGAUAAACCGGAGGAAGGUGGGGAUGACGUCAAAUCAUCAUGCCCCUUAUGACCUAGGCUACACACGUGCUACAAUGGACGGUACAAACGGUUGCCAACCCGCGAGGGGAGCUAAUCCGAUAAAACCGUUCUCAGUUCGGAUUGUAGGCUGCAACUCGCCUACAUGAAC
rnacentral:rRNA from 1 species